UACGGAGGGAGCUAGCGUUAUUCGGAAUUACUGGGCGUAAAGCGCACGUAGGCGGUUUGUUAUGUCGGAUGUGAAAGCCCUUGGCUCAACUGAGGAAGUGCAUCCGAAACUGGCAAGCUAGAGUAUGUAAGAGGGUCGCGGAAUUCCCGGUGUAGAGGUGAAAUUCGUAGAUAUCGGGAGGAACACCGGUGGCGAAGGCGGCGACCUGGGACAAUACUGACGCUGAGGUGCGAAAGCGUGGGGAGCAAACAGG
rnacentral:rRNA from 1 species